CGCAUCUGUGCAUGCAGCAUAUCAAUAAGCGGAGGAAAAGAAACUAACAAGGAUUCCCCUAGUAACGGCGAGUGAAGCGGGAAGAGCUCAAAUUUGAAAUCUUAAAGGGUUUCCCUUUACGAAUUGUAGUUUAAAGAAGUGUUUUCUGUUGAGGUUUUGGUAAAAGUUCUUUGGAAUAGGACAUCAUAGAGGGUGAGAAUCCCGUAUUUGACCUUUACUUUCAACUUUGUGAUACACUUUCAAAGAGUCGGAUUGUUUGGGAAUGCAGUCCAAAAUGGGUGGUAAAUUUCAUCUAAAGCUAAAUAUUGGCGAGAGACCGAUAGCGAACAAGUACCGUGAGGGAAGAUGAAAAGAACUUUGAAAAGAGAGUUAAACAGUACGUGAAAUUGUCAAAAGGGAAGCGUUUGACACCAGUGUUGUUUUUCUGAAAAUCAAUUAAAGAACUGUUUAUGCUAAGUUGUUUAGACUUUAUCAGCUAACUGUUUAGUUUUGAGCUUUUCUUUAAUGCACCUUUUCAGUUAACAAGUCUAACAUCAAUUUCUUUUGCUGUAAAAAAGCUUGAGGAAGGUGGCUUGAGAUUCGUCUUAAGUGUUUAUAGCCUCUUGCCUAUGCAGUCGGAGAGAUUGAGGUCUGCAGCGUAGAUCCUUCGGGGCUAAAUGCAUUUGUGCUAAGUUAUAGCAUUUUAUAGACAACUUGUUGACUAUGAUUUGUCUUGUAGCUUACUCGCUUAUGUUAUUUUACCUACGCUUAGGAUGUUGAACGCGCACAGAGUCUC
rnacentral:rRNA from 1 species